rnacentral:rRNA from 1 species
ACGGGAGGCAGCAGUGAGGAAUAUUGGUCAAUGGGCGGAAGCCUGAACCAGCCAUGCCGCGUGAAGGAAUAAGGCCCUAUGGGUCGUAAACUUCUUUUGAGCGGGAGCAAUAAGGUCCACGUGUGGUCCGAUGAGAGUACCGUUCGAAUAAGCAUCGGCUAACUCCGUGCCAGCAGCCGCGGUAAUACGGAGGAUGCAAGCGUUAUCCGGAUUUAUUGGGUUUAAAGGGUGCGUAGGCGGACUGACAAGUCAGAGGUGAAAGCCCUGCGCUCAACGCGGGAACUGCCUUUGAUACUGAUGGGCUUGAAUUCGGAUGCCGUGGGAGGAAUGAGUAGUGUAGCGGUGAAAUGCAUAGAUAUUACUCAGAACACCGAUUGCGAAGGCAUCUCACGAAUCCGACAUUGACGCUGAGGCACGAAAGCGUGGGGAUCAAACAGGAUUAGAUACCCUGGUA